UUCUCAAUUUGUUUAGUCUAGACCGUGUUAUUAAGUUUUAUGUAAACAUAUGACGAGAAAAAUUCUUAGACACAUACGACAUUUGUGUUGUUGAAAUAACUGUAAAGUUGUUUUGACGAUUAUAGCUGAUGACAAAAGAAGCCAAUUCCACAAACCAAACCGAUCGACUCCACGCUAAGAUAAACCCCAUUACACAGAUGCGAUAAACUUAACAGAAACAAACACUACUAGUACACUUCACGAUAUCCUUUUAUUCAGAAGCCUAACGGAUCAUAGAUGAAGGUUGGUCGUCUGAUCAUGUUGCGUUCCCAAACUAGUUGGACGGGAGAUCAUCGGCCUUGUCGUAGACAACGUAUUGAGGCUCCGACUGGAUCCCCUUGGCAAACUUGUGAUCAUCGGCCUUGUCGUACACAACGUAUUGAGGCUCGGACCGGAUCCCCUUGGCAAACUUGUGAUCAUCGGCCUUGUCGUACACAACGUAUUGAGGCUCUGACCGGAUCCCCUUGGAAAACUUGUGAUCAUCGGCCUUGGCAUGGACAACGUAUUGAACAAGCUCCGGGGACUCGAUUCCUUUGGCAAACUUAUCGGACGGUAGACCAUCAACUAACUGAUGAUGAGGUUGUGACGACGACUCAAUCCUUUUGGAUUUGUGAUGAUCAUCGGUAUCACAACCAACACCCUCGUGAACAGAGUCUGCAACAGGGACUAGAGAUUGGAUGGCUUUCGGCAUAGGCUGAUCAUUCGUCACAAUUCUCCAGUAAUCUCUGACAUCGUGGUGAACAUCAGAGUUUGCAACAGGGACUAGCGAUUCGAUCUCUUUCGGAAUAGGCUGAUCAUCCGUCACAAUCUCCCAGUAAUAUCCUGCUGGGUCUUUCCUUGCAUUGGCACAACCAGCUCCCAACU
rnacentral:lncRNA from 1 species